rnacentral:tRNA from 1 species
UCUUGAGUAGUUUAUUAAAAAAUAAUGAUUUGUGGUGUCAUAGAAGUAUAUUUAUAUACCUUAGGUA